rnacentral:tRNA from 1 species
GGGCUUAUAGCUCAGGUGGUUAGAGCGCACCCUGAUAAGGGUGGUGAGGUCGGAGGUUCAAGUCCUCCUAAGCCCACCA